rnacentral:lncRNA from 7 species
UCCAACCUUGGUGAUUCUAUGAUUCCUCUUAACUAUCAUUCUGGAGGUUACCCAAGUCUUCAUCUAUAAAAACAAAAGCUCUUUUUCACCUCGCCACAACUUUGAACACAUCUUUCAUCUUUAUUGAACCCUCUUAGCAGCAUCCUUGGCAGCUGCUACUUGAGCUCAGGAAGUCGCUGCUGUUACUCUGAACAGCUUUGCAGAGCAUCUUGUCACUUCAGAUAGUGCUGCCUGGCUCACGGCGAUGGGGGCAGCUUUGAUGAAGUACUUUCAGCAGAUAUGUUUGGAUGGAAUCUGCCUUGCUCAAAAAGACAGAAAAUUAAGUUUUAGCACCCUCCUUAUGCUGCCUUUUGUACAGUAUAACCAGUAGUAAUUGGACCUUUUUCUGUGAGGCGGUAGCAUUUGUAAACUUACUCAUCCAGUACGUGAACAUCCUGGCUUAAGGCUGCUGAAUGAGCCUAAGAGCUGUACCUGGUAUGUAUAAAUGAACAGCACCACUUUGAGCGCUCCAUUGCUAAGCCAUUCAAGACUUACUGCCACGAUCUGCAACAUUUUGGCAUAGCAAGAUCAUUGAAUUGUUUGAAGCCUUUUCCUACGGAUGCCAGUGCUUCAGAAAACAGCGUAACACCCAAGGUAUGUAGAUAUAUUGCCAGCUUUUACUUCUGAGGAGUGGAUGUUUAGUACCUGGGGGAAUGGGCAAAGAACUCCUGGUAGUAUAUGUUAUCUAAAUUUAUAUGGGAGCAUCCCAGUGGAUUGUCCAGCUUGUCUUUAUAUUGAGAUCACAAUGGUAGAGCACAGAGAACUGCUACAAGUGAGAGUCUGGAUCUGCUUGCCGGCUUGCUACAGUGUUGGCCGUGUCCUCACAAAACAAGAGUUUUUCCACCCACCAACUCCUUUCACAAGCAAUUCCUCCCAUACAGGAAUAACUAAUUCCUGUACUGAUCAUAUGUGAGGUGGGCAAUGGUCCUACAAUGGGAAAAAAGAGAAAAACUGGUAGAAGUGGUAAGAAAGUAACCUACAGUGAGGGAGACAGUACAGGAUGAAUCUGAAAAGCUGUUGCUUUUUUUUCUUGAGAGGUAAAAAAAAGUAAUUACUGGUGCAAGAAUUGCAACUGUUAAUUGGCGGUAUCUUUAAAAUACUGCUGAGGCUUUCUGUGUGUGCUGCAAGAUUGGAGAAUUCUCACCUGAGCAAGUAUUUUCUUCCCUGCAUCCUGUGUUGACAGUGACUAGAGAAAGGCAUUGUUACAGUUUGGAACUUGACUGCAGAUUUCAACUUUCUUCUUUAAUUGCAUCGUGGCUGUGUUGGACUCCAUCUUGCUUAAAGUCACAAAGAUUC